GCACUGCUGACGAGUCUCAAACAGGACGAAAACAGUUGUCUAGUGC
rnacentral:hammerhead_ribozyme from 1 species